rnacentral:hammerhead_ribozyme from 1 species
CGAUUGCUGACGAGUCCCAAACAGGAUGAAACAGCUGUCCAGUGC